rnacentral:rRNA from 1 species
AAUGACGCUGGCGGCAGGCCUACACACUAAAGUCCGAGCGCGAAAGGCCCUUCGGGCUGAGUAGAGCGGCGGACGGGUGAGUAACACGUGGGAAUCUACCUGGUAGUGGGGGAUAACUUGGGGAAACUCAAGCUAAUACCGCAUACGCCCUACGGGGGAAAGGAGGGGAUCAUUAGACCUUUCGCUAUUGGAUGAGCCCGCGUCGGAUUAGCUGGUUGGUGGGGUAAAGGCCUACCAAGGCGACGAUCCGUAGCUGGUCUGAGAGGAUGAUCAGCCACACUGGGACUGAGACACGGCCCAGACUCCUACGGGAGGCAGCAGUGGGGAAUAUUGCACAAUGGGCGCAAGCCUGAUGCAGCCAUGCCGCGUAGUGUGAAGAAGGCUCUAGGGUUGUAAAGCACUUUCAGUGGGGAGGAAAGGUUGAUGGUUAAUACCCGUUAAACUGUGACGUUACCCACAGAAGAAGCACCGGCAAACUCCGUGCCCAGACAGCCGCAGGUAAUACAGGAGGGUGCUGAAGCGUUAACUCGGAAUUACUGGGCGUAAGGCGCGCGUA